CCUACGGGAGGCAGCAGUGGGGGAUAUUGCACAAUGGGGGGAACCCUGAUGCAGCGACGCCGCGUGGGUGAAGAAGCGCCUCGGCGCGUAAAGCCCUGUCAGCAGGGAAGAAAAUGACGGUACCUGAAGAAGAAGCCCCGGCUAACUACGUGCCAGCAGCCGCGGUAAUACGUAGGGGGCAAGCGUUAUCCGGAUUCACUGGGUGUAAAGGGGGCGCAGACGGCGAUGCAAGCCAGGAGUGAAAGCCCGGGGACCAACCCCGGGACUGCUCUUGGAACUGCGUGGCUGGAGUGCAGGAGGGGCAGGCGGAAGUCCUGGUGUAGCGGUGAAAUGCGUAGAUAUCAGGAGGAACACCGGUGGCGAAGGCGGCCUGCUGGACUACAACUGACGUUGAGGCCCGAAAGCGUGGGGAGCAAACAGGAUUAGAUACCCCAGUAGUC
rnacentral:rRNA from 1 species